UGAGGGUCCCUUCUGGCCUUAAAGUCUGUGAGUCUAUGAAUUUUCCCCAACCACUUUUACUCAUUCAAAAUGGCAAAGGUUAUUCCCACUUCCCAGGGGUGCUGCAAGGCUGAAUUCAUUAGUUCUUGUAAAGUGCUUUGCAGUUCCACAGCCCCUCAGGAUCUCAAAGUAUUGUCACUGUUCUUUCAUUGUAUCAAUAUUGUUGGAAAUGAGGGUGUUGCUUGGAAGAGGAAAAGCAAAGAGGAGCAUAUCCAGACAAUGUUUAGAACUAAUACUUUAACGUUAUUGGCUAACUACUGUAGUUAGGUAUUUAGCUAGUUAGAACUUGGAGUGAAAGAUCGCUGAAGGGGCAGACAUUAGCGGGUGCCAUACAUGAAAGGGAACUAACUGUCCACUCUAAGAUAUUCAUCUGUCUGUUGUAGUGUCCCGUGUGUCAAGUACACAGCCUUCCUGGAGUAGCUGUUGGCCUGAUGAUUGCAUAUGUGAGGGCAAAUAUGACAUAAGUAGGAGAGAGAGAGAUUCCAGUCUUAAUGGCUCUACAAACAUCCUGGAUGACCAGCUGCUGCUAUAGUGUUCCAAGCAGGGGGAGUCCGACUGAGGUUUGGGACCCUGUUCCUGUUUCCUCUGAAGUCAAUGGCUCAGCUCCCAUUGUGCGCAGCAUGGCAGGAUUGAACACUCAAUGUCCAUGUGGUGUAGGGUGACCAGAUGUCCCGAUUUUAUAGGGACAGUCCUGAUUUUGGGGUCUUUUUCUUAUAUAGGUUUCUAUUACCCCUCAGCCCGUCCCGAUUUUUCACAUUUGCUGUCUGGUCACCCUAAUGUAAUGGGCAUUUUCCAACCAACAUAGCAGCUGUGGCCUGCCUAGCGUGGGUCAGAAGUUCUUGAAUGAGUCAGGGUUAGCCAGGGAGACAGGUUACUGUGCACCUGGGCUGGGUCACUUAUGUUUCCUGGGAUCGUAGGAUGCCAGAGGAGGAUGGUGGAACCAGUUUUUCUGCUCUGGCAGUGGAACUGGGGAGGAGACAGUACAAAAUGACAAGACAGGAACUGCAGAGCUACUGCUACCAACUAGAAACUUGGGAGGCCGCUCGCCUUUUUCCCUGCCAGGUGUUCUGAAUAGACGUGUGAGAUCCAGGUAGCUGCUCCAGGAUGUCUUCCAUCUUAAAGAUGUUCGGAAGAGAAGACAAGAAGGAUCAGGGAAAAGAGAAGGAGAAAGACAAG